UACGGGGGGGGCAAGCGUUGUUCGGAAUUACUGGGCGUAAAGGGCCAGUAGGCGGCCAACUAAGUCCGACGUGAAAUCCCCAAGCUUAACUUGGGAACUGCGUCGGAUACUGGAUGGCUUGAAUUCGGGAGAGGGAUGCAGAAUUCCAGGUGUAGCGGUGAAAUGCGUAGAUAUCUGGAGGAAUACCGGUGGUGAAGGCGGCAUCCUGGACCGACAUUGACGCUGAACGGCGAAAGCUAGGGGAGCAAACGGG
rnacentral:rRNA from 1 species